AUUGAACGCUGGCGGCAGGCCUAACACAUGCAAGUCGAGCGGAUGAGAAGAGCUUGCUCUUCGAUUCAGUGGCGGACGGGUGAGUAAUGCCUGGGAAUCUGCCUGGUAGUGGGGGACAACGUUUCGAAAGGAACGCUAAUACCGCAUACGUCCUACGGGAGAAAGCAGGGGACCUUCGGGCCUUGCGCUAUCAGAUGAGCCUAGGUCGGAUUAGCUAGUUGGUGAGGUAAUAGCUCACCAAGGCGACGAUCCGUAACUGGUCUGAGAGGAUGAUCAGUCACACUGGAAAUGAGACACGGUCCAGACUGCUACGGGAGGCAGCAGUGGGGAAUAUUGGACAAUGGGCGAAAGCCUGCUCCAGCCAUGCCGCGUGUGUGAAGAAGGUCUUCGGAUUGUAAAGCACUUUAAGUUGGGAGGAAGGGCAGUAAGUUAAUACCUUGCUGUUUUGACGUUACCGACAGAAUAAGCACCGGCUAACUCUGUGCCAGCCGCCGCGGUAA
rnacentral:rRNA from 1 species